rnacentral:rRNA from 1 species
GAUGAACGCUGGCGGCAUGCCUAACACAUGCAAGUCGAUCGGUAAGGCUCUUCGGAGUACACGAGAGGCGGACGGCUGAGUAACGCGUAGGAACACAACCUGCAGUGAGGGAUAAGACACCGAAAGGUGUUCUAAUACCGCAUACGGUCUUCGGAUUAAAGCAUUUAUGCGCUGAAGGAGUGGCCUGCGUCAUAUUAGAUAGUUGGUGAGGUAAUGGCUCACCAAGUCGAUGAUGUGUAGCUGGUCUGAGAGGAUGAUCAGCCAGACUGGAACUGAGACACGGUCCAGACUCCUACGGGAGGCAGCAGUGAGGAAUAUUUCACAAUGAGCGAAAGCGUGAUGGAGCAAUGCCGCGUGCAGGAUGAAGGCCCUCGGGUUGUAAACUGCUUUUAUAAGAGAAGAUUAUGACGGUAACUUAUGAAUAAGGGACGGCUAACUACGUG